UUAUUUAUUUUUUCCUACAAUCAAUGAAUUUCAUUGUGUUAAUAUAUCAUUUUCGUCCUGCUUUCUAAUAACGGUAGUUAAUACUUUUUCGUCACAACUAAAAGUAUAUAAAUUCAAAUUUUAAAGCUGUUUCUUGUCACGUCCGCGGAGUACUUGCAUAGCCUUCACUAUAUUGACACUAUAAUCCGAUCUAUACAAAAGUUGUUUGCACUACCGUCUCCCUGUGUGCUUUGUGGGAACUCCCCUAUUCCUCAGCAGUUUUGAGCUGAAGCUAGGUUUGAAAGAUUUCCGGUGACAACACAAACCCAAGCACAUAUACAAGGACUUUGUUUCAUUGCAAGUUUUCGUACAGAAGUUAAACAGGUAAAAUUUAUUUAACUUUAUUCGGUUUAUUUGUUUAAUUUAAUUGUUUCCUCAAUUAACUACUAGUGUACUACAUUUUCACACAUUGGAUAUCUUAAAUCGUGACCGCUGGUCAUUAUUUCUUUGUUGUUUGAGAGUUGAGUCCAUCAAAGUUUAUGUGAUCACUGUAGGAAUUUUGCAUGGGUAAAUUCUGUGUUUAGUUGAAAGAAAAGUUUGACGGCGAACAGACUUAAUCGGUUUAACACUGAGACUUCUCCAAACCUAAAGCUGUUUGAAUAGUUAUUUUAUAUACCUAUUUUAACUCAGUUUCAAUUUAACUCUUCAUUUAGCUUGUUCACAGGUGUUUCAGAAUUCUCUGUCAUGUAUUUGAACGUGGUUUCCAUCAUCACUUUUGCGGCAUGGAUUUCCGCUGGCUCUGCAUCGGUAAGGAAAG